AAAGCCGUGGAGAGCAUCAGUGGAGACGUGCGUGAGGGGGACUCGAACCAACCCACGCCCCCACCCCCAAAUCUAGAGGCCGAGGAACCAGUGACUUACACCGAAAUACACACCCUCCAGCCGGCGGCUGUGGUGACAGAUUUACAGCCUGUCACGCUUGACCACGCCGGGCACCUGCUACCCAAGGAAGACGUGGACGCCUUCUUCAGACACAUGGAACCGAUGCCAACCUCCGUCUCAGUGACCAAUUACACGACCCUGACAAACGCACCCAUGUCAUUGGCUCACUCUGUGUAUCAGACUCUCAACGGGCCCUCGUCCGCCUCAAACGCCGGCAGCAUGCCCCACGCUACGGUCCUCUCCGACGGGCAGUCCUACCUUCACUCCAUGACCCACUUAUACCCUCCCUCGUCCCGCUCCCCCGGGCAAUAUGGCAUUUCUACCACGGAAACCAGUGGAUACUUAAACCCGCACGAAUACUCUGGGAGCCCGGGGAAUGGAAAAUAUUCUCCCUAUGACAGUACGAAUUCCGGGGGUCUCCGGAGCGACAGUAUGUCGUCCGGAAUUUCAUCUUUGUUGAGACAGGGCCAGCUUCCACCCUAUUCUGAUUUUCUGACUCAAGAUUUGUCAGGAUUUAACCCAUAUCACGGCCUGACGCAAGAAACGAGAUUACAAGCAGACGACCAAGACUACUUCAAUAACGAAUGUCGAGAGUGUGUCAACUGCGGCGCCAUUUCUACUCCGUUAUGGCGAAGAGACGGGACCGGUCAUUAUUUGUGCAACGCCUGCGGACUGCUCCACAAGAUGAACCCCGGGCAAUCCAGAACGCCAGUCAAACAGCCCAACCGUGAGAUUUUAACUCAAAUACUUAACGACGAACAACCCCCUGUUUGGGCUUUGACGGCACUCACGGAUCCCCUCCAUUCAGAAUCGCCCAUCUCCGAGGAGGAGAAAGCGCCGCCCCCCAUAAAACGGAUCGACGACGCCAAGUUUGACAAGAUAAGCGGCAUUAACAACAACAACAGAAGUAGGAUGGGAUUAUCGUGUGCUAAUUGCAAUACAUCCACCACGACCUUAUGGCGACGUAACGGCGAAGGAGAACCUGUCUGUAACGCAUGCGGCCUGUAUUACAAACUGCACCAGGUGAACCGGCCUUUAUCCAUGAAGAAAGACGGAAUCCAAACUCGAAAACGGAAACCCAAGACCCCCGGGAAAUCCAAGUCCCCCUCCAAGGAUUCGCAGCAUCACCCCCAACAGGAGCCCUCGCUUGCCCCUCCAAUGUACACCCCGCCCCAGGUGUCCUCUGCCUACCACCCCCCUCAGCAACCUUCCUCCCAGGGGCUGUUGGAUUUGUCCGUGGCGCGCUCAGAUCCUGGCGAUAACCAUACGACAGGUAUGGACAUGAAGCCCAGUGUAUCCAACUUUAACCUUUACCAAACCCACAGUUCUGUGUUGGCAGCGCUUAGUUCCCCUCCCCCGGCCUUAUUACAGGUCGGAGGCAACUCGCACGGGAUUCUCCCUUCCAUCAAUCACGUGACAUCUCACUUGCAGCACAAUGACGUAUUACGCAUGAACUAUGACAGUGACCUCAUGAUGAAGCAGGAGCCUCACAUUUUUGAACCCUCACCCCCGAAAGCCGUGCCCGUCGCCGUAAACCCAGACGACAUAAAGCAAGAGGACCUGGAAACUAGGUCAAAUGGAAUUUCUCCCCACAGCGACAUCGUUCAGCUGAAGGCAGCUUCGGUAAUGGCCGAGGAAUCCGAAAGCGAUUUCAACAACCGGAACUUGUGUCCACCUACAGUGAGCGCCAAAUAGUCAUGGGAAUCAUUCGGGUAUUUCUUUAUUCGGAAUACUUACAAAAUAAAUCCAAUGCUCGAAUCCGGCAUAAUUAUCAACCAAACCCACUUCAUCUUUACCAAGGGACUAUUUUCUAAUCAUAUCGUGUUGUACUCAGUGGAACAAACCACACUACCGUUAUAUUCAUGCGCUGCAUUGGAGUGACUAGGGUCCAGCUCUAACGUAUUACCGAACUUUUUUUUUAUACAAAGAUUUAAUAUCGUCAAGACGAGAAUAUUUUUUGUAAAGGGUAUAUAAAAGUCAUAAUAAUGUUGAUUCAUUUUCCAUAUGCAAAACUAUUUUUUAUGUUUAUUUUAGAGAAGUAGUAUUUUCUUGUCAUUGCAAUUAAAAAUUUAUGAUGCGUUAAAAAAGAUUGCACAUUUUUUUUUAUGAAAUUUUUAUCUUGAAUUGGUAUAUAAAUCAACAAAUAACUGUGUGAUUCAUGUAAGUAUUUGGGGAAAAAUCAACUUGUGAAUACGUGUGAUUAUAGAUUAUGACUUUGUCUCACAUCUAGGGUAACUUCAUAAUUCAUAUAUAGUUGUGUACAUAUCUUUAAUUGUAUAUUUUAAUUAUCAGGUAAAACUUAGCUACCAUACGUAGUUUUGAUCAAUCUUGCCAGUAAAUCUAGUGUCUAGAGAAAUACAUUAAUAUUGCACUUUUGAGAUGUCAAGAAAAUUUGUACAUUCCUUGGGGGGGAAAGAAACCACUUACUCUUUUGUUGUAGUUGCUUUUCUUGCCACCAAGAAAAAAGAAUUGAAGUAGAAAUUCGAUCUGUUGAUGUUCGAACUUUUUGAAUGUGAAAUGUACAAAUAAUUUUUUUUUUCAUGGACAAUCUUCUGCUAAUUUCUUGCCAAUCGUGUAUAUUUCUGAUUAAAACAUUCCACAACU
rnacentral:misc_RNA from 1 species